rnacentral:rRNA from 1 species
UACGUAGGGGGCAAGCGUUGUCCGGAUUUAUUGGGCGUAAAGAGCGUGUAGGCGGCUUUACAGGUCCGUUGUGAAAACUCGAGGCUCAACCUCGAGACGCCGGUGGAAACCGUAAGGCUAGAGUCCGGAAGAGGAGAGUGGAAUUCCAGGUGUAGCGGUGAAAUGCGUGGAUAUCUGGAGGAAUACCGGUGGCGAAGGCGGCAUCCUGGACCGGCAUUGACGCUGAGGAGCGAAAGCCAGGGGAGCAAACAGG